GUACCCUUCCCCUCCAGAUACAGUGAUACAGGUGAUAUGAGAUGAGAGGCCUUUGGGGCCCGUCUGAACACACAUAGAGGCUUUGGGCCGUGUGUUUGGGCGCUUUUGCCUUUUGGGGGCCUAUGCAUGCGGUAUGAUGAUUACAGAGAUACAGAUAUGAGAUACAGACAGAUAUUGAGAUACAGAUGAUACAGAUGAGUUACAGGCCUUUGGGGCC
rnacentral:lncRNA from 1 species